AUCCCCUACACUCCGUCUCCUCGCGGCUCCUGCAGGAUCUGGGCUGCUAGAGACGCUUUAACCUUAAGGGGGCCUCCGGGAGAGGGGAGCGG
rnacentral:miRNA from 1 species